rnacentral:rRNA from 1 species
GCAUGCAGGUGGUUCAUUAAGUCAGAUGUGAAAGCCCGGGGCCCGGCCUCGGAACUGCAUUUGAAACUGGUGAACUAGAGUACUGUAGAGGGGGGUAGAAUUUCAGGUGUAGCGGUGAAAUGCGUAGAGAUCUGAAGGAAUACCAGUGGCGAAGGCGGCCCCCUGGACAGAUACUGACACUCAGAUGCGAAAGCGUGGGGAGCAAACAGGAUUAGAUACCCUGGUAGUCCACGCCGUAAACGAUGUCUACUUGGAGGUUGUGGCCUUGAGCCGUGGCUUUCGGAGCUAACGCGUUAAGUAGACCGCCUGGGGAGUACGGUCGCAAGAUUAAAACUCAAAUGAAUUGACGGGGGCCCGCACAAGCGGUGGAGCAUGUGGUUUAAUUCGAUGCAACGCGAAGAACCUUACCUACUCUUGACAUCCAGAGAAGCCAGCGGAGACGCAGGUGUGCCUUCGGGAGCUCUGAGACAGGUGCUGCAUGGCUGUCGUCAGCUCGUGUUGUGAAAUGUUGGGUUAAGUCCCGCAACGAGCGCAACCCUUAUCCUUGUUUGCCAGCGAGUAAUGUCGGGAACUCCAGGGAGACUGCCGGUGAUAAACCGGAGGAAGGUGGGGACGACGUCUAGUCAUCAUGGCCCUUACGAGUAGGGCUACACACGUGCUA